rnacentral:lncRNA from 1 species
CAAUUCAUAAAAACAUAACCCUAAAUUCAGAAUAAGUACUCGAUCAGGGAUGGGUUAGAAGAAUUAGGCCAUGGUACUUGGAUAAUGACCAUGCACUCAUCGUAUCCAAAGGCAACCUCUUCUCCGUUGAUCCUACAAGAUCUUGGUUUCUCGGCUGCAAAGGCCCUCAUUUCUCCGGUCCCCUUCACGCCGAUCCGAACUGAGUUCUCCUCAUCAUCGAAGGCUAAUGACUCGAUUGCUCCACCGGAGUUGAGCAUGUUCACUAGUCCGAUUGGAGCAAACUGAACAGAUUUCCCCGGGAGAGUGGUC